rnacentral:rRNA from 1 species
UACGUAGGGUGCAAGCGUUAAUCGGAAUUACUGGGCGUAAAGCGUGCGCAGGCGGUUAUGUAAGACAGAUGUGAAAUGCCCGGGCUUAACCUGGGAACUGCAUUUGUGACUGCAUGGCUAGAGUUUGGCAGAGGGGGGUAGAAUUCCACGUGUAGCAGUGAAAUGCGUAGAUAUGUGGAGGAACACCGAUGGCGAAGGCAGCCCCCUGGGUCAAGACUGACGCUCAUGCACGAAAGCGUGGGGAGCGAACAGG